rnacentral:sRNA from 1 species
GGAAGAGAAAUCCCAAAGCUUUUGCAAUUCAGUCUGCUGUGGGGAUGGCUUGAUCCUUUCACAGGACUCAGGAUUUGAAGACAAAAAAGCAUCAUAUUCCAGUGGUUGAUCAAACUCCACUAGAGCCGCCACCAAUAGUGAUAGUGGUGACGGGGCCUCCAAAAGUUGGAAAGAGCACUUUGAUAUAAUGCCUCAUUGGGAACUUCACCCGGCAGAAGUUGACCGAGAUCAGAGGCCCUGUGAUGAUUGUGUCAGGUAAAAAGCUCCGACUCACCAUUAUUGAAUGUGGGUGUGACAUUAACAUGAUCUAUCUGGCUGAAGUAGCAGAUCUGGUUGCCAAGCUGUUCUACCUUUCUGGAAUGGUGCAUGGAGAAUAUCAAGACCAAGAAAUCCACAAUCUGGGCCAUUUUAUUACAGUUAUGAAGUUUAGGCCUCUCACAUGGCAGACUUCUCAUCCUUAUAUCCUGGCAGACAGGUAAAAAGUGAUUGUAAACUUUUAUUUCCUAGACCAUAUAUUUCAAAGCUAAAAAGGCUAGAAAAAGAACAGUGAUAGGAUUUAUUUUGUGCCUAUUUGAAUAGUGGGGAUAGAAGUGUAGUUGAUGGAAAAUGUCUACUUAUAUCAUUGCUCAAAGAUGCUGUGCCUUUGGGAGUAAAUUAAUUAUGAGAUGUUUAGGAAAAUGGGAGGACUUGGAAGCAUUUAAAGCUACAGGAUAUGGCCCCAUCCUAUGUUCAGCCUCAGUUUUCAGUGAUGCUGCCUUCGUGCCCGGGUGCUUGAGUCCUUUAUGUGUGCCUUCAGUUUCCUUCCUUUGUGCUCUUCUUUGUGCUGUGGUUUUCUCAGCCUGGAAUACCCUUUUUCCACCUGCCAGAAUCCAAGCCACAGUACAAAUCCCAGAGCACAGGCUCACCCUCUUCCAGAAAGGGAUUUUCUGAAUAUGUUCUUCACUCUUCCCUGACCCCAGGUGGACGUCAUCUCCCUGUCUGGUGUCUUACGGAAUGAAUGUCACUUUCAGCCUAGAGACACAGUUGUGUGCCUGCCCCUUUUCCUCUGGUGGGUGGUUAAUGGUGCUUCCUUAUUUCUGUAUUUUCUAGUUUUCUAAAUGACAUGCUUAGUGGACAAGAGUGUGAUGAGUCAUUGACACAUGAAAGGAGGUAUAGGAACUUUGGCAUUCAUUUCUGCUGUAUGAUUGAGUUUAUUUUUCUAGGAUGGAAGAUUUGACAAACCCAGAGGAUAUCUGAACAAAAUGUGACUGGCAGGUGUCACUUUAUGGUUAUUUAAGAGGCGCACACUUGAAAAAUAAAAGCCAAAUUCACAUGCCAGGUAUUCUCUUGUUGUAGAACAUACUAGAAUCACACAUAGGAUUCUUGGGAUGGCUUCUUUUCUCAGGAAAACUGACAAAUGACCAAACAAGGGAAGAUGGCUUUGGUGGAGGUUUUAAAAGUAAGCCAGCUAUGUGGAGGCCUGUAAAGGUGUUAUUGAAUCCCCUCUUCUCUGACCUUUUGUCUUAUAGCUAGAGGAGCACUGUUCCAGUGUGGCACAAUGCCCUUCUUUAUGCUCAUGGGUUAAGCCCUUGGACUGUACAUCAUUUUUUGUUUUGUUUUGUUAUUGGUGACUGACCCCAUGAGUCAUGCUCUUUACAAAGCAUGCAUUUGGAUGUUUCUUUCUUUUUUUUAUUAUUAUACUUUAAGUUCUAGGGUACAUGUGCACAAUGUGCAGGUUUGUUACAUAUGUAUACAUGUGCCGUGUUGGUAUGCUGCACCCGUCAACUCGAGAUUUACAUUAAAUAUAUCUCCCAGUGCUAUCCCUCCCCACUCCCCCACCCCACGACAGGCGCUGGUGUGUGAUGUUCCUCAAAAAUUAAUUAAUUAAUUAAUUAAUUAAUUAAUAGAAAUUCUCGGCUGCUUUUUAUAGCUGUAGAAAAAAAAUGAAAUCUAUUUUAAACUUUUCUUUUUUUUUUUUUUUGAGACAGAGUCUCACUUUGUCUCCCGGCCUGGAGUGCAGUGGCGCGAACUCGGCUCACUGCAAGCUCCGUCUCCUGGGUUCACCCCAUUCUCCUGUUUCAGCCUCCCGAGUAACUGGGACUACAGGGGCCUGCUACCACGCCCGGCUAAUUUUUUGUAUUUUUAGUAGAGAUGGGGUUUCACCAUGUUAACCAGGAUGGUCUCGAUCUCCUGACCUCAUGAUCCGCCCGCCUCCACCUCCCAAAGUGCUAGGAUUACAGGUGUGAGCCACCACGCCCGGCGAAGCCGACUUUUCCCAUUAUUUUUAACGGUAAUUCAUAAAAUCCUUGUUAGGUUUGAUGACAGGUACCAUAUUAAGGGCAGCAUUUUAUAACCCAUAUCUUAAACAUCAUCUCUGGAAGUUGAGAGCCUCCAAUGGGUUUUCUAUAGAGUGCACAUGAUACCACACUCAGGCAGUUCAUGGAGUGUAAGACAUAUCUUAGUGCUUUGUCAUUUGACAUUUUCACUGAGAAAAAAAUAUACUUUGAUAAGUUUGACUUACACUUCCCUUCCCCUUCAGGUAUCUACUGAGCGUUUCAGUCAACAAUACAGCUCGUGUUCGACAAUAUUCCUUGAUGACAGCACAGCCAGCCAGCAUUAUCUUAUAAUGACAAUAAUAUCAGAUGCAGAUAGAUCUUUGACCAUACUUGAUGAACAGUUAUACUCAUUUGCGUUUUCCACCGUGCACAUUAUGAAGAAAAGAAAUGGAGGUGGGAGUUUAAAUAACUAUUCCUCCUCCAUUCCAUCGACUCCCAGCACCAGCCAGGAGGACCUUUAUUUCAGUGUUCCUCCCACUGCCAACACACCCACGCCCAUUUGCAAGCAGUCCAUGGGCUGGUCCAACUUGUUUACAUCUGAGAAAGGGAGUGACCCAGACAAAGAGAGGAAAGCCCUGGAGAGUCACGCUGACACCAUCGGGAGCAGCACAGCCAUCCCCAUUAAACAGGGCAUGCUCUUAAAGCGAAGUGGGAAAUGGCUGAAGACAUGGAAAAAGAAAUAUGUCACCCUGUGUUCCAAUGGCGUGCUCACCUAUUAUUCAAGCUUAGGUGAUUAUAUGAAGAAUAUUCAUAAAAAAGAGAUUGACCUUCAGACAUCUACCAUCAAAGUCCCAGGAAAGUGGCCAUCCCUAGCCACAUCGGCCUGCGCACCCAUCUCCAGCUCUAAAAGCAAUGGCCUAUCCAAGGACAUGGACACCGGGCUGGGUGACUCCAUAUGCUUCAGCCCCAGUAUCUCCAGCACCACCAGCCCCAAGCUCAACCCGCCCCCCUCUCCUCAUGCCAAUAAAAAGAAACACCUAAAGAAGAAAAGCACCAACAACUUUAUGAUUGUGUCUGCCACUGGCCAAACGUGGCACUUUGAAGCCACGACGUAUGAGGAGCGGGAUGCCUGGGUCCAAGCCAUCCAGAGCCAGAUCCUGACCAGCCUGCAGUCAUGCAAGAGCAGUAAAAGCAAGUCCCAGCUGACCAGCCAGAGUGAGGCCAUGGCCCUGCAGUCGAUCCAAAACAUGCGUGGGAACUCCCACUGUGUGGACUGUGAGACCCAGAAUCCUAAGUGGGCCAGUUUGAACUUGGGAGUCCUCAUGUGUAUUGAAUGCUCAGGAAUCCACCGCAGUCUUGGCACCCGCCUUUCCCGUGUGCGAUCUCUGGAGCUGGAUGACUGGCCAGUUGAGCUCAGGAAGGUUAUGUCAUCUAUUGGCAAUGACCUAGCCAACAGCAUCUGGGAAGGGAGCAGCCAGGGGCAGACGAAACCCUCAAUAGAGUCGACGAGGGAAGAGAAGGAACGGUGGAUCCGUUCCAAAUAUGAGCAUAAGCUCUUUCUGGCCCCACUACCCUGCACUGAGCUGUCCCUGGGCCAGCACCUGCUGCAGGCCACCGCUGAUGAGGACCUGCGGACAGCCAUCCUGCUGCUGGCACAUGGCUCCCGUGAGGAGGUGAACGAGACCUGUGGGGAGGGAGACGGCUGCAUGCGCUCCAUCUGGCCUGCCGCAAGGGGAAUGUGGUCCUGGCGCAGCUCCUGAUCUGGUACGGGGUGGACGUCAUGGCCCGAGAUGCCCACGGGAACACAGCGCUGACCUACGCCCGGCAGGCCUCCAGCCAGGAGUGCAUCAACGUGCUUCUGCAGUACGGCUGCCCCAACGAGUGCGUGUAGUAUCUGUUUUAUUUGACUGCAGUCUCCUUGGUGCAAAAACAAAAUGGGAAAAAUAAGGAUAACUCAGAAUUUCAAAAGGAAAUCACAAAUUCAGCUAAUAAUAGCAUUUUCAGUACUUUUCGUAAACUAAGUAAAUACACAAAAUGUUGAUUUUUCUGACCAUAAGACAUAUUUUAUGUCCUUUUGCCGAGGUGGGUGUGUUAGUCUCAGGCCCUCCUGGCCACAUUGCCCAAGUCACACAGGCUUCUGUAUUAUGUAUUUAGAUAAGAUGUGUGAAAAUAUAUUUGAAAAAAAGUUC